rnacentral:lncRNA from 1 species
UUGUUCGAUUGAAUGAGAAAAAGUACUGGUCGCAAAGUUAUAUUGUUAGGGCGGAACUGAGUAGUCUUUUUUUGUUCCGGUUUUGGUUCUUGUGAAGGUUGACCUCGAUUCGUUCCAAAUUUACACUCUCCGGACACAAUAGAACAAUAUAAUUAGCUUUUACUCUCUGUUCGAUUAAAUGAGAAAUAGUACUCGUUGCAAUAUUAUACUGUUAGGGCGCAUCUGAGUAGUCUCCUUUUGUUCCGGUUUUGGUGUUUUUGAAGGUUGAUAUCCAUUCGUACCAUAUUUACACUCUCGCGGUAUAAUAGAACAAUAUAAUUAGAUUUUACUCUUUGUUCGAUUGAAUAAGAAAAAGUACUCGUUGCAAAGUUAUACUGUUAGGGCGCAACUGAGUAGUCUAUUUUUGUUCCAGUUUUGGUUCUUGUGAAUGUUGACAUCGAUUCGUUCCAAAUUUACACUCUCGGGACACAAUAGAACAAUAUAAUUAGCUUUAACUCUUUAUUGUAUUAAAUGAGAAAAAGUACUCGUUGCAAAGUUAUACUGUUGGGGUGCAACUGAGUAGUCUUUUUUUGUUCCGGUUUUGGUUCUUUUAAAGGUUGACAUCAAUUCGUUCCAUAUUUACACUCUCGGGGUAUAAUAGAACAAUAUAAUUAGCUUUUACUCUUUGUUCGAUUGAAUGAUAAAAAGUACUCGUUACAAAGUUAUACAGUUAGGGCGUAACUGAGUAGUCUACAUUUGUUCCGGUUUAGGUUCUUUUGAAAGUUGACAUCCAUUCGUUCUAUAUUUACACUCUCGCGGUAUAAUAGAAUAUUAUAAUUAGAUUUUACUCUUUGUUCGAUUGAAUAAGAAAAAGUACUCGUUGCAAAGUUAUACUGUUAGGGCACAAUUGAGUAGUCUAUCUUUGUUCCGGUUUUGGUUCUUGUGUAGGUUGACAUCGAUUCGUUCCAAAUUUACACUCUCAGGACACAAUAGAACAAUAUAAUUAGCUUUUCUCUUUAUUGGAUUAAAUGAGAAAAAGUACUCGUUGCAAAGUUAUACUGUUAGGGCGCAACUGAGUAGUCUUUUUUUGUUCCGGUUUUUGUUCUUUUAAAGGUUGACAUCAAUUCGUUCCAUAUUUACACUCUCGGGGUAUAAUAGAACAAUAUAAUUCGCUUUUACUUUUUGUUCGAUUUAAUAAUAAAAAGUACUCGUUACAAAGUUAUACAGUUAGCGCGUAACUGAGUAGUCUACUUUUGUUCCGGUUUAGGUUCUUUCGAAGGUUGACAUCCAUUCGUUCCAUAUUUACACUCUCGAGGUAUAAUAGAACAAUAUAAAUAGGUUUUUCUCUUUUGUUCGAUAGAUUGAGAAAAAGUACUCGUCGCAAAGUUAUACUGUUAGGACGUAACUGAGUAUUCUAAUGUUGUUCCGAUUUUUGUUCUUGUGAUUGACAUCAAUUCGUUCCAUAUUUACACUCUCGGGGUAUAAUAGAACAAUAUAAUUAGCUUUUACUCUUCGUUCGAUUGAAUGAUAAAAAGUACUCGUUGCAAAGUUAUACUGUUAGGGCGCAACUGAGUAGUCUACUUUUGUUCGGUUUAGGUUCUUUUGAAGGUUGACAUCCAUUCGUACCAUAUUUACACUCUCGCGGUAUAAUAGAACAAUAUAAUUAGAUUUUACUCUUUGUUCGAUUGAAUAAAAAAAAGUACUCGUUCCAAAGUUAUAUUGUUUGGGCGCAACUGAGUAGUCUAUUUUUGUUCCGGUUUUGAUUCUUGUGAAGGUUGACAUCGAUUCGUUCCAAAUUUACACUCUCGGGGCACAAUAGAACAUUAUAAUUAGCUUUAACUCUUUAUUGGAUUAAAUGAGAAAAAGUACUCGUUGCAAAGUUAUACUGUUAGGGCUCAACUG